GCCCUAGUAACGGCGAGUGAAGCGGCAACAGCUCAAAUUUGAAAUCUGGCCUCGGCCCGAGUUGUAAUUUGCAGAGGAUGCUUCUGGCGCGGUGCCUUCCGAGUUCCCUGGAACGGGACGCCACAGAGGGUGAGAGCCCCGUAUGGUCGGACACCAAGCCUGUGUGAAGCUCCUUCGACGAGUCGAGUAGUUUGGGAAUGCUGCUCUAAAUGGGAGGUAAAUCUCUUCUAAAGCUAAAUACCGGCCAGAGACCGAUAGCGCACAAGUAGAGUGAUCGAAAGAUGAAAAGCACCUUGAAAAGGGGGUUAAAUAGUACGUGAAAUUGUUGAAAGGGAAGCACUUAUGACCAGACUUGGGCCGGGCGGCUCAUCAGGGGUUCUCCCCUGUGCACUCCGCCCGGCACAGGCCAGCAUCGGUUUUCGCGGGGGGAUAAGACCGGCGGGAACGUAGCACCCUCCGGGGUGUGUUAUAGCCCGCCGGACGAUACCCUCGCGGGGACCGAGGUCCGCGCUCCGCAAGGAUGCUGGCGUAAUGGUCAUCAGUGACCCGUCUUGAAACACGGACCAAGGAGUCGUCCAUUAGAGCGAGCGUUUGGGUGUAAAACCCGCACGCGUAAUGAAAGUGAACGCAGGUGAGAGCUUCGGCGCAUCAUCGACCGAUCCUGAUGUUCUCGGAAGGAUUUGAGUAAGAGUUUUAACGGACGGACCCGAAAGACAGUGAACUAUGCUUGUAUAGGGUGAAGCCAGAGGAAACUCUGGUGGAGGCUCGCAGCGGUUCUGACGUGCAAAUCGAUCGUCAAAUAUGAGCAUGGGG
rnacentral:rRNA from 1 species